CUGGCAGGAAAAACCCUAAAACUAUUGCAAAAUAGAAACAUAAAUAAAUCAAAACCAAAAACGCGACUCAGAAAACUUAAACCACAUCACUGGCACGUUGCCAGAAUACACAUACGGCAAACCCUUUGGCAAGAAUAGUGUUGGUUGGGCACAUAUGGUUUAAGACAAGAAUAGUGUAUCCUUUAAUUUUGGUAGCGUUGCCAGAAUACUUGUAUAAGACAAAUCAUGCUUACAAUCAUACAAGUCAAUGAUUGAGAGCACUUCGAAUUGACAGCGGUGGGUUUUGAACUGUACCUCUAGAUAUAAGGUCGUGGUUUAAGAAUAAA
rnacentral:lncRNA from 1 species